CUAAAAGUUAUUCAUUAAAAAAUGUUUAAAUAUUAAUUGAUGUUUUUGUUUUUAUGUAUGUAGGGGACACGUACAUACACACGUGCUGGACGACAAGGAUCGCUGCGGGGUAUCUAGAAUUAUCGCCAAGGACGUAAAGGAGAAUCUAUGACACCAUCGAGAAGGACCAUUGGGCAACGAGGGUCACCACUGGGGUCACCAGGAUCAUAGUCAAGGAUUGUAAGGUACAAUUUCUUGACAUUGGAUAUGGAGGAAAGAGAGAGGGCUAAGGUAAUUGCCAAGAUGUCCUUAAUUGUCAUCAGUAACAGGCUAAUGUUUUUUAAAAUAGAAAGGUUGUGGUUCCCAACUGCUGAUGUUAAGCGCUAUUCUGUUAUCAAUAUAUGUGGUAAAGAAAGAUUGUCUGGAGAAGAUAAAUGUGAUAACAGGAGGAACCAAGACUUAGGCAAGAUAGAAACGUUCGUCAACAAGGCGUCAAGACACCAACCACAGGGGGCAAUGCUCUUAUUACCAACAGAUCUCUCCGUUCCGCUGAACAGUACCGUAACCAGCAACCGCAACACUUUUCGAUCCAACCGAAGAUGAGUCCGGCGAAUGCAACGUCUCAGCAUCAAUACCGAGCAGCUCCAGCACGUAUAACAAACCCAGCAGAUGGUUGACACACGCUCCGAUCCAGUCCUAUACCAAGCGCUUUACACGUAUGCACCGCAGAAUGAUGACGAGCUUGAACUACAAGAGAACGACAUGAUCUGCGUGCUGGAAAAGUGCGACGAUGUUUGGUACGUCGCACUUGGUACGCGCUUUCUGUUUGGUACGCGCAUGUUUGGUAGUCAACGGACUGGUCUUUUCGGUACGUUUCCGGGCAAUUAUGUCGAACGCGUUUGAUACGUUUUCAAACACGACGCACGACAUAUUUGAACGAAUCGAUUGCGUAAUUUAAAAGACACGACAGGACACCCACCCAACCUAUCUACAACACAUUUCGAGUCGCGAAAAACAUUGUUACGGUUAUACUGUUUCAUCACCUAUAUAUUUUUAUUCUUUAUCUCAUUUACAAUUUGAUACAGCAACAGCGCCAAAGAAUCUCUCAUUUGCAUCAGAACGUGGAUCGCUACACUUUCAGUUGAUCGUAUUUGUUUCUGCUAUAAUAUUCAUGAGCGUUUAUUCGAUCAUUCUAAACUAUGACAUGAUCUGUUUUCUUUUGUUGUUUCAAAUAUUUUAACCUAUCCAUCGUCUUCCUACAUGAAGCUUUCUCAUCGUUAACAUUUUUUUUUUUUUU